rnacentral:rRNA from 1 species
UACGUAGGGACCAAGCGUUGUUCGGAUUUAAUGGUGCGUAAAGGGCGCGUAGGCGGCGUGACAAGUCACUUGUGAAAUCUCCGGGCUUAACCCGGAACUGCCAAGUGAUACUGUCGUGCUAGAGUGCGGAAGGGGCAAUCGGAAUUCUCGGUGUAGCGGUGAAAUGCGUAGAUAUCGAGAGGAACACCUGAGGUGAAGACGGGUUGCUGGGCCGACACUGACGCUGAGUGCGCGAAAGCCAGGGGAGCAAACGGG